rnacentral:rRNA from 1 species
CUGAUGACGCGCCUUCACAAUCGCACCCUAGUGGUGGUUGAUGGUGGAGACGUGCUCCGACCGCGACCCCAUGUCAGGCGGGACUACCCGCUGAGUUUAAGCAUAUCAAUAAGCGGAGGA